UACGUAGGGACCAAGCGUUGUUCGGAUUUACUGGGCGUAAAGGGCGCGUAGGCGGCAAUUCAAGUCAGCUGUGAAAUCUCCGGGCUUAACUCGGAACGGUCAGCUGAUACUGCUUUGCUAGAGUGCAGAAGGGGCAAUCGGAAGUUCUCGGUGUAGCGGUGAAAUGCGUAGAUAUCGAGAGGAACACCUGAGGUGAAGACGGGUUGCUGGGCUGACACUGACGCUGAGGCGCGAAAGCCAGGGGAGCAAACGGG
rnacentral:rRNA from 1 species